rnacentral:lncRNA from 1 species
CACAGGUGUUGUUGCCAGAGGCGAUGCCCUCUCUUCAGCUGGCAGAAGCGCCAGCGGCAGGAGCGUGUCGAGGGAGGUUUUGUGUCUCUUCUCCCCAUCCUCGGCCUGCUUACCGAGGCCCGCUCCGUGCCAGAAAACACACUGGUGUUCAUGUGUCACCCCAGCUCCACGAUCAUGACCUGCUGCCUGUCUCAGGUGAGGAUCUUGAAACCCAGCAGGGUUAAACGACACUGAAGAGGAAACACCCAGCCCUGGCCCCACAGAACAGCGUGAGCUUGCUAAUGAAUAGCCCGAAGACCACAGAGCACUAGACAGAGCAUUUCAGCUUUGAAGAAGUGAGUUCCUGACCUUGAGCUUUGGAACAGAUGCUCUAUGAACCUCUGCAAGUGACCAGCUUUUAGGGCCAUCCUUGAAGACAGCGAUUCUAGUGAAUGGACAGUGUGUAGCUCCUGCUCACAGCUGGGAGAACUACUUAAAGGGAGCACAUUAGGU